UGGACCUCAGAUCAGACAAGACCACC
rnacentral:rRNA from 1 species